UACGAGAGGCCCAAACGUUAUUCGGAAUUACUGGGCUUAAAGAGUCCGUAGGCGGCGCAGAAAGUAGGGUGUGAAAGCCCUCGGCUUAACCGAGGAAUUGCGCUCUAAACUACUGUGCUUGAGGAACCUAGAGGUGAGCGGAACUGAUGGUGGAGCGGUGAAAUGCGUUGAUAUCAUCAGGAACACCGGAGGCGAAGGCGGCUCACUGGGGGUUAUCUGACGCUGAUGCACGAAAGCUGGGGGAGCAAACAGG
rnacentral:rRNA from 1 species